rnacentral:rRNA from 1 species
AACGUAGGUGGCGAGCGUUAUCCGGAUUUACUGGGCGUAAAGGGUGUGCAGGCUGCCCCUCAAGUGGUGUACGAAAGGGCUCGGCUCAACCGGGCUAGGUUAUGCCAGACUGAGGGGCUAGAGAGCGAGAGCGGGACGUGGAAUUCCGGGUGUAGUGGUGAAAUGCGUAGAUAUCAUGAGGAAUACCAGAGGCGAAGGCGGCUACCUGGACAAUUGCUGACGCUCAGGCACGAAAGCGUGGGGAGCAAAAGGG